UUUUUCUUCUUUCCUUCUAUAUUGUAUCUCUGAAUAAGACACACAAAAUCAACUACUGUUUUUUUCAGAUGACUCACAGACAGCUCUCCUUCAUAUUUCUCUCUUGUUCUACAAACUGAAAAUACUCGACUAUUACACUAUAUGUUUUUAAAGACACGUUUGAGAGAUGGAGACUGCUGAAAAACUGCUGAAGAAUGACGUCUUCACUGCAUGGAGAAGUCCAGAGGUGCCUUGCACGGACAUCAUCUAUACAGAGAAUAAUUUUAAAAUGUUCUCAAUGUGAAGAUGCCGAGGAGGAAAAGGUCCGCUUCAUGAGAAGGGAGAAAUGAAAGGAAGAAUAAACGUGGGGUAGGAGCAACAAAAUAAAAGAAUAUUUAAAUGAUUUCAAAUGGAUUGUAAAGUGUUGAAUCAUAAAGGAUUGGCAAAAAAGCCCUCUCCUCAUGAGGUCUAGCUAAUAUUAGGAAUUAUUGCCUCAAACGCUGCAGGUGUGGAUCCAUUUCUUUCACUGCUAGCAAAUGGGGUUGCAACUGCCUUUGACAAUGUAAAAGCUGCACAAUCCCUGUGCCCCAGGGCAGACAAUGAUGUUGGUGAGAUGCUGAUUUUAGGAUAGAAAAUUACAAUGGUUAUAUAGUAAACAGCACCUGGAAGUUUACUAAUGAUUUUUUCAAUUAACAGCAGCACUAUGGUCUGAUUAUUCAUGCAUGCUUUCUAUGAAAGGAAAGAAAAGAGGCAGAUGUUGAAAAGAAUUAGCGGUUGAGAGAUAUUUUUAAUUUUUUUUGUAACUGGAGGUAGAGCCUUCUUCCUGUUAUCACUACUUCUGAUAAUGAGAUGCCAAAACUAGUGAAUUAAAAGUUUUUACAAAAUUUAAAAUGUUUGGACUGUUCUACUCUCCCAUUAACUCCAAAUACUCACAUGAAAUGUGCAUGAAAAUGGAGAAGUAUAUAUGUAUAUAUAUAUAUGUGUGUACAAAUCUUUACACUCUCUGCCUGUAGCUUGAUAUGUAGUUUUGGCAUCCAAGCAAGAAAAAAUAAAAAAAUCCCACCAAGAACUGCAUGGCCAUGCAGAUCUUCAGCUACUGGAUCAUCUAUGAUAAUAAUGGCUGGAUCUCUUCCCUUAGAAGUCCACCAGGUGUGCACCUGCCAGAUUGUAGAAAUCUCUUUCCUGCAGCUGAGACAUGGGAAUUUCUUUGGACAUCAAAGCAAAGGUUUAUUGAAAUCUUACCCUUGCACAUCAUUUUAUCUUCUACUGAAAGAGGUGACAAACAACAGGGCCCACUGUGGAGGUCACUGAGGAAAUGAUGCUGAGAAUUCACUGGACAGACAAAGAAUCUGGAAAUACUACCUUGAGCAGAACAUACAUGAUGCACCUUCAGAGAGCAUUUAAAUAUGCAACCACUGCGGAUGGGCA
rnacentral:lncRNA from 1 species